rnacentral:rRNA from 1 species
AACGAACGCUGGCGGCAUGCCUAACACAUGCAAGUCGAACGAGACCUUCGGGUCUAGUGGCGCACGGGUGCGUAACGCGUGGGAAUCUGCCCUUGGGUUCGGAAUAACAGUUGGAAACGACUGCUAAUACCGGAUGAUGACGUAAGUCCAAAGAUUUAUCGCCCAGGGAUGAGCCCGCGUAGGAUUAGCUAGUUGGUGGGGUAAAGGCCUACCAAGGCGACGAUCCUUAGCUGGUCUGAGAGGAUGAUCAGCCACACUGGGACUGAGACACGGCCCAGACUCCUACGGGAGGCAGCAGUGGGGAAUAUUGGACAAUGGGCGAAAGCCUGAUCCAGCAAUGCCGCGUGAGUGAUGAAGGACUUAGGGUUGUAAAGCUCUUUUACCCGGGAUGAUAAUGACAGUACCGGGAGAAUAAGCCCCGGCUAACUCCGUG